rnacentral:lncRNA from 1 species
AAUAAUGUCAUCUCUAGGAUCCAAAGCAAAAAUGCUUUCUUUAUAUUCUUGUUUGAGCUCCUCAAAUAACAUGACAUUAGCAAAUAAAUUACUUAUCUGGGACUACAAAAAGAAUGAAACCAUGAUCACAUUAUCUCCAUCGCAGACUUGCAUUAUGUCAUAUGCACGACACAUAAUAUCUAUUAGCUCCUCAAAUAACAUGACAUUAGCAAGUAAAUUACUUAUCUGGGACUACAAAAAGAAUGAAACAAUGAUCACAUUAUCUCCAUCGCAGACUUGCAUUAUGUCAUAUGCACGACCCAUAAUAUCUAUUAUAUGGUAGAUCCUUGUGAUCGAUAAGACAGUAUCUGGAUUGCACCACCAGAUUUCUGGAUAAAGUGAUUCCCUUGACAGGACCACUGAUCUUUCAGAACUUGAUAAACAAA